rnacentral:rRNA from 1 species
CACGUAGGGGGGCGAGCGUUGUCCGGAUUUAUUGGGCGUAAAGAGCUCGUAGGCGGCUCGGUAAGUCGGGUGUGAAACCUCCAGGCUCAACCUGGAGACGCCACCUGAUACUGCUGUGGCUAGAGUCCGGUAGGGGAGUGUGGAACUCCUGGUGUAGCGGUGAAAUGCGCAGAUAUCAGGAAGAACACCAGCGGCGAAGGCGGCACUCUGGGCCGGAACUGACGCUGAGGAGCGAAAGCGUGGGUAGCAAACAGG